UACGUAGGGUGCAAGCGUUAAUCGGAAUUACUGGGCGUAAAGCGUGCGCAGGCGGUUUUGUAAGCCAGUCGUGAAAUCCCCGGGCUUAACCUGGGAAUGGCGAUUGGGACUGCAAGGCUCGAGUGCGGCAGAGGGGGGUGGAAUUCCACGUGUAGCAGUGAAAUGCGUAGAUAUGUGGAGGAGCAUCAAUGGCGAAGGCAGCCCCCUGGGUCGACACUGACGCUCAUGCACGAAAGCGUGGGGAGCAAACAGGAUUAGAAACCCUGGUAGU
rnacentral:rRNA from 1 species